rnacentral:tRNA from 1 species
GCCUUCGUGGUGUAAUUGAAAGCAUACUCGAUGUGUAUUUGAGAGGUCCAGGGUUCGAGUCCCGGCGAGGGCA